CCUACGGGCGGCAGCAGUGAGGAAUAUUGGUCAAUGGACGAGAGUCUGAACCAGCCAAGUAGCGUGAAGGAUGACUGCCCUAUGGGUUGUAAACUUCUUUUAUAUGGGAAUAAAACGUUCCACGUGUGGGAUUUUGUAUGUACCAUAUGAAUAAGGAUCGGCUAACUCCGUGCCAGCAGCCGCGGUAAUACGGAGGAUGCGAGCGUUAUCCGGAUUUAUUGGGUUUAAAGGGAGCGUAGGUGGAUUGUUAAGUCAGUUGUGAAAGUUUGCGGCUCAACCGUAAAAUUGCAGUUGAAACUGGCAGUCUUGAGUACAGUAGAGGUGGGCGGAAUUCGUGGUGUAGCGGUGAAAUGCUUAGAUAUCACGAAGAACUCCGAUUGCGAAGGCAGUUCACUGGACUGCAACUGACACUGAGGCUCGAAAGUGUGGGUAUCAAACAGGAUUAGAUACCCUAGUAGUC
rnacentral:rRNA from 1 species